GGACGCCUAAACCGGUAACUUCUCACUAUAAAAUGAGUCUGCAAGCCUUCAACCACAGAUCAAGCUAAGACCAGUUGAGCUCUAGCCAUACCAUACUACGGCUCAUCGGUGUUUUGUGUUUUAUUUCUUAAAAAUGAUGGUCUCUUGUUUUUAUGUUCUUUCUAUUGGACUUUUUAACUAUUGGGGU
rnacentral:misc_RNA from 1 species